UUUUGCCUACGGGACGCAGCAGUGAGGAAUAUUGGUCAAUGGGCGGGAGCCUGAACCAGCCAAGUCGCGUGAGGGAAGACGGUCCUACGGAUUGUAAACCUCUUUUGCCGGGGAGCAACGGGGUCCUUGCGAGGUCCCAAUGAGAGUACCCGGAGAAAAAGCAUCGGCUAACUCCGUGCCAGCAGCCGCGGUAAUACGGAGGAUGCGAGCGUUAUCCGGAUUUAUUGGGUUUAAAGGGUGCGUAGGCGGGCUGUUAAGUCAGCGGUCAAAUGUCGGGGCUCAACCCCGGCCUG
rnacentral:rRNA from 1 species